UAGGGAAUCUUCGGCAAUGGGGGCAACCCUGACCGAGCAACGCCGCGUGAGUGAAGAAGGUUUUCGGAUCGUAAAGCUCUGUUGUAAGUCAAGAACGGGUGUGAGAGUGGAAAGUUCACACUGUGACGGUAGCUUACCAGAAAGGGACGGCUAACUACGUGCCAGCAGCCGCGGUAAUACGUAGGUCCCGAGCGUUGUCCGGAUUUAUUGGGCGUAAAGCGAGCGCAGGCGGUUUGAUAAGUCUGAAGUUAAAGGCUGUGGCUCAACCAUAGUUCGCUUUGGAAAACUGUCAAACUUGAGUGCAGAAGGGGAG
rnacentral:rRNA from 1 species